CCGGGGGUACAUGUUGUGAGAACAGGACACUGGCUUAACCCCUUGAAGGACCUCCACCAACCAAAUUUAUGUCAUGAAUAUUCCAGGGAACUCCUUUGAUAACCAAAAUGAAAAGAAGGUAGGCUGAUGGAUUUCUCCUUCCAAUAUAGUGCGUACCUAUCCAAGACAAACUGUUAACUAUUGUCUGGUGUCCAUAAUAACCUACAUAAGAGACUUCUGAAUGUCAGCUGCUGUGUGUUAUGGACAGGUGGUCUUCACGGCAGCUGUGGUGAGAAACAGAAGAUUGGACAUUUUAG